ACCUAAUGCAGAAGAAGCAUAGCAAAUAUUUUUUUGAGGAUAAUUAAAAAAAAAAAAAAAGACAAUAAAAAUAGUAGAGCAUUUUAUUUAUUUUAUUUUAUUUUAUUUUAUUUUUUAUUAUUAUUUUUUAAAGAUUGAUCUUUAGAAUCACGAAAGAUAAAGAUCAUGUUCUGCAAUAUGCCAACACUGUAUUGAGCAAAUAUUCUUUGACCCCAUUAGCACAAUGACAAGCCAAACUUAUAAUUAGAUUUGGCAUAGUACUAGCAUGGCUUUUGGUUGUCUUGAUGCAUGAGUCAGGUCCUGUAAGAAUACACCUUACAUUGAAAUGCAACGUAUAAACAUUCCCAGAGACAUCUAGCACCUUGUACCAUUGCUCAAUACAUUAUUGUAAAGGUAGCAUUCUUCAGCAUCUACAAAUGAUACUCCUAGAUGGACAUCCAGAUUUACAGCCCCUUACAGAAGUGAAAUGUAUGUCAUUAUGGAUUUACAAGCCUCUUUCCUACAUUUUGUCCGUGGUUACAUAUUGCCUAGCAAUGCAUCUUGCAGGUGUUACUGUAAUAUAAAAAUGAAUAUUGAAUGAUUAGGAGAAUAAUGAUAGUAAGAAUUAAGGAUUUUUCCUUGUGACUCACAUCACAGUUUAACUGUUGUUGUUUUCCUGUGUAAAUGCUACUACUGGGAAGGCAGUUUUAGGAAAGCUCAGAAAAAUCCAUACUAUUAAUUUUAACUCUAUAUGAAUCUCUGACUAUGAAAGCAAUAAAAAAAAUAUUCUAGUCAUAAACUAAUAUCUAUAUGUAUACUUAUAUAUUUUUAAAAAUCUAAAAGAAAAAUGUGAAAGUUACUGUUACUUAGAAGGAGUUUAGCCUCAGAGGUGAGGAAAGCUAAGACUGUAAACUAGAAUUGAUGCCCUGGCUCUAAGCAAGCUGGUGUUUCUUCUCUGGGAUCAGCUGUGGGAUCAGGUGUGUGCCUCAUGAGGGAAGCUAUAAAAGUGGGUUAUGGGACACAGGUCAAGACAUUUUGUGGAGCUGAUCAAGCAGAUGCUGUGAUAGGAAGCCAGAGGAUGAGGGCAAUCUUUACUUCUUUCCUUCAUCAAAAACUGAAAGGCAGUACCAGCUCCACCUGGCUAUCAGCUAUGUGGGAGGUAAGUCAGAUACAAUUGAACUACAAGGUGUGUGCUUCCAAUGGCAGACAUUUUUGCACCUUCACGGAAAAAACUUACAAAACAAUUAUUUAUAUAAAGAGAAAUACCUUCUACGGUGCUGCUUAA
rnacentral:lncRNA from 1 species